rnacentral:rRNA from 1 species
GACGAACGCUGGCGGCGUGCUUAACACAUGCAAGUCGAACGGAAAGGCCCUUCGGGGUACUCGAGUGGCGAACGGGUGAGUAACACGUGGGUGAUCUGCCCUGCACUUUGGGAUAAGCCUGGGAAACUGGGUCUAAUACCGAAUAGGACCACGAGCUUCAUGGUGUGUGGUGGAAAGCUUUUGCGGUGUGGGAUGGGCCCGCGGCCUAUCAGCUUGUUGGUGGGGUAAUGGCCCACCAAGGCGACGACGGGUAGCCGGCCUGAGAGGGUGACAGGCCACACUGGGACUGAGGUACGGCCCAGACUCCUACGGGGGGCAGCAGUGGGGAAUAUUGCACAAUGGGCGCAAGCCGGAUGCAGCGACGCCGCGUGAGGGAUGACGGCCUUCGGGUUGUAAACCGCUUUCAAUAGGGACGAAGCGCAAGUGACGGUACCUAUAGAAGAAGCACCGGCCAACUACGUG